CGGUAACAUUGCUUCAUUGCCACAGCAUAUGUUGAGUAGCUCCAAAGUACAGCAGAGCAAAUCUCUUGGAUGGAAUAACAUAAGUGAAAAGGAAAACUACCGGAAACUAGUAAGAUCCAGACUAACACGGCUACCCCUCUGAUACAUGGGCGGUAACAACGCUCAAGCGGGUAUCAAACAACCAUCAACAGCCAUUGUCCAACAAGGGAGCUACAAUUCAAUGCCUCGUCUGCAGAAGGUCACAUCAGAGGAAUUGCUCAACCUGGUGACUCAGCAAUGCCCAUCAUAUAUGCCUGGGCUUGUGUUCUCCAAGCACAUGGA